UACGUAGGGGGCAAGCGUUGUCCGGAUUUAUUGGGCGUAAAGAGCGUGUAGGCGGCCAAGCAGGUCCGCUGUGAAAACUCGAGGCUCAACCUCGAGACGUCGGUGGAAACCGUUUGGCUAGAGUCCGGAAGAGGAGAGUGGAAUUCCCGGUGUAGCGGUGAAAUGCGCAGAUAUCGGGAAGAACACCCGUGGCGAAGGCGGCUCUCUGGGCUCUACCUGACGCUGAGGCGCGAAAGCGUGGGGAGCGAACCGG
rnacentral:rRNA from 1 species